AAAUCCCUUUAGCCAAUGCCAAGGGUGAGAGUUGAAACUCUGGCGACUGCCUUCUCAGAUCCUGCCCUGGGAGGCUAGUCAUUUAUUUCGGAAGAUUUACUCAGCCCCUCGGGGAAAGGGUCAUGGUUUAUACCGAAGCCAGUGGGGAAAGGAUCGCUUGUUUUACUGAAUGCAGAACAUCUGUGUUUAUUCCAUGCCUUUUUCUUUUGUGUUGGUUGGUUCAUCGUAAAUCACUUAGGAGGGUAGGUGGCCGAUUCAUAAAAUCUGAUAUUUCCUGUCAAAGAAAGUCCCGUAGAUCAUGGGGCACCUGGAGGGCUCAGUCGGUUAAGCGUCCGACUUCGGCUCAGGUCAAGAUCUCCCAGUCUGUGAGUUGAGGUCAUGAUCUCUCGGUGUGAGUGCGAGCCCCGUGUCGGGCUCUGUGCUGACAGCUCAGAUCCUGGAGCCUGUUUCAGAUUCUGUGUCUCCGUCUCUCAAUGCCCCUCCCCCUCUCAUGCUCUGUGUCUCUCUCUGUUAAAAAUAAACGUUAAAAAAAAAUUUUUUUUUUUUAAAAGAAAGUCCCGUAGAUCUUCCAUCGGCUGUGACCCAUCGGCUGUGAUGUUCCGUGGUGCAGGGCAAACAGGACGAGGCAUAUUUUAGGUCGGGAAGUAUAGUGAGCACACGUCUAAAAAUGCUGUGCUCAGAGGGCUGGGCCAGUUUCCUUCCAGUGUGACAAAAGGCAGCAGAUGCCCUCUAGACAGUCAUGUUUUCAAAUGGUCAUCCCUUUGCAAAGGGUUACCAGGGAACACAUUUCAUUUACUUUGUGUUUUGCAGUAAUUCUUUUUUUAUUGAUUGCUUUUUAGGGAAAGAAAGAGAGAGAGUGAGCGGGAGGGGGUCAGAGAGAGAGAGAGGGAGAGAGAGGAUCCAAAGUGGGCUCUGUGGUGACAUCAGAGAGCCUGAUGCGGGGCUCGACCUCAUGAACCGUGAGAUCAUAACCUGAGCUGAAGUUGGACCCUUAGCCGACUGAGCCACCCAGGCGCCCCUUUGGUAGUAAUUCUCGAAGGGAUUCUUAUAGAGAGAAAAACAAGUUGGAGAAUCAAUGGUGACAUCAGAAAACAGGGGAGAAAUGCUAGAAAUUAUGGCAAAUUCUGUCUUCUAAUUGGGGGAUUAGAGCUUCUUCCUGGACAUGGGCACAGAUCGCCCCUUAAGGUUCUGUUAACCCUCUCUUUCUGAGCUACAUUCUCAAUUCUUUCAAGAUUCCCCGAAUUCUCGUCCUUAUUAUAGCACCAGCUCAAGGUACCUGGUCUUAUCAUCUCAGUAAGAUCCAGGUACAGAUGUGGCUCAUCAGGUGUAGGUCCUUAAGCACAGCUGCUGUAGUUCAUUAACUCUUGCCUAACAUUACAUAUCAAGGUUCCCCGUCACCCAAUUUCCAUUAACAUGGCCCUCAGUCGUCUUUAGCCCUGUUCUGAUUUUGCUAAGUUAACAUUUGUUAAGUGGGGCACGGGGUGCCAGGUGGUGAGUUGUGGUUCAGUAAAAGACCACAAGAGAAAAUGAAAUAGAAAAGUUUAUUACUCGCAGACCCUGGAGGCAGUACCCAGCAUGCCUCGAAGGGCACCAUGGGGAGGCGAAGGCAGGGGGCAGCCAGAAAGAGCAACAAAACUUGGGGCCCAUGCUUUAUUAGGGAAUGUGGGUAGAGUGCUUUGGGGUCCCCCUCUAGGGCCGCAUUGGUGAAUAUCAACCCAAAAAGGUGGGGUUUCGGUAAAGCCCCACGGGGGUCUUAUUGAAGGGGCGCAUGAGGCAUGCAGGUGCUGGGAGGCAGGGAAGACCGUUGAUGACAAGGGCUGUUGGGAAAGUCAGGGCAGGAACUUGGAUUUGCCUGGACUCUGGGGCUGCCAGUGAGGCAUGCACUUGCACGAGGGGCUAGUGUCAGUUCAAGGCCUCUGCAGGCAACCAAGAUGGGUGACAGGGGAGCACAGAGCCCUGCUGAAGGGGCCACUAGAUCCCAGAAAUCUGUUUUGGAUUUCAUUUUCUUUUUAAAAUUUUUUAAUGUUCAUUUAUUUUUGAGCGAGAAAGUGCAUGCGCGAGAGAGACAGAGCACGAGUAGGGGAGGGGCAGAGAGAGAGGAGAUGCAGAAUCCCAAGCAGGCUCCAGGCUCUCAGCUGUCAGCACAGAUCCUGAUGUGGGGCUCGAACUCACGAACCUCGAGAUCAUGACCUGAGCCGAAGCUGGACGCUUAACCGACUGAGCCACCCAGGUGCCCCUGGAUUUCAUUUUCUAGUGUGACUAGCCAUCCACUAAGGGGGGGGGGGGCCCAUUUUCCUCUCCCUGAGGCCCACACAAUUCCUCUAGUGGGGCCCGGAGCUAUAAUUUUCAUCUCCUGCAAACUUUUUGGUGAGUUUGUUUUAAUUAACGAGACUUUAUAAACCGAAUAGUAAGGCAAAGCUGUUUGCCUUAACCUCAUCUAGGCUAAUAAUAUAUGUAUGAUCAUAAUCUCUAAGCAAUUUGGCAGGGGUUUGUCCCCUAGGGCUCUCCAUUAUAAGACUCAUAUUGCACAAUCUGCCCUCUAUCAGUGUGGAAGAUGGCAAGAUGAGCGAAAAUCAAAAUGGUAAGGGAAACAUCCAUUUGGUGAGCACAUGUGAAUAAUGUCUUUUCUGAGGUCAAAAGCGUGGGGGUUCCCUGGGAGUGAGUACUAACACGGAAUCUUUGGAGGAGACUGGUGGUUGGUGUAAGGUAUUUAGAGAUCUUAGGGCCGGGAAAUAGGCAGUAUUAGAGACUGGAGUAAAAUUUCUGUCCAUCUGGGGGACCACUUGUUUAAAAGCUUGAGGAGCAUGUCUUUGAGUAGGUCAUUGUGCGUCUUUAUGUCUGGCCAAGGGGGCCUGUUGGCUAAGUGGUAACUCCAUGAGAUCCUAUGUUCCAGAACCCGUGAUUGAACACUUGGGAGGCGAAAUGGGCACCUUGAUUUGAAUCCAUAAUGUCUGGUGGGUCAAAGGGAGUGAACAUAUGUCUGGUUAAGGAGGAGAUCAUGUGACAGGAAGCAGCAUGCCUGGAGAGAGCUGUCAGCACAAGUCACCAGGUAAGGGAUCAGCGAUGAUGGGCACAUACCCAAUAGCUCCAGCAGAGGGCAACGGUGACCCAAGAAAACAUAUUUGCCAUCCCGCAGGGUCUGUCCCCCUGCUGCCCAAGCCCCACCUGGGAGGCUUUCAGGAUUUUGUUUGGGAGCAAAGGAGGUAAUUGACUACCCCCACUUUGGCUAGAGCCAGGGUGAGGGCCCGAAACAGGCCAUGCUUGUAUUCCCAGACAGUGAGGACUGUCCCUCCCCGAUGGCCUGAUGUAAUAUGGGCCCACUCCACUAGUGGGUAUGCCACCUCUGGAGGAAUAGUUGUGUCUGGGGCAAUGUUGGGUAUUCUGGUUCAUGUGGGGUCUUGAACCAGGCAAGCCUUCUGGAUAAGGAUCUGCAGUGCGGUUAUAAUCUGUUUCUGUUGUCUGCCGGUGUGUGGGUGGGUUCGUGCAGACACAGAGUGACCAGAAUCAGCAUGUGAGGGUGGGCUGUUUCUCUCCGAAUGGAGGCACCCCAGAUAGGCCUUCCCUGAAUCAUGAAAUGACCCCUUUGCCAUUUUCUAGGACAGACAACGAGAUCAUUGGCUACCAUCCAGAAGUCAGUAAAAAUGAGCGUCCUUGGGAGUCUCGCUUUUGCAGCCUGUGUAGAGCCAGGCACACCGCUACUGAUUCUGCUAGUUGGACCAGGCCAGGAGGGCCCUCCCGACUAGGAAUGUGCCGCUGGCAGGAUGAUAAACUGAAGCCUUCCAGGCAGCUGCGUUGUGUACAGGGACUUUGCUGCGGGCCCAGUAAGCUGCCGAGAUUCCGUGCUCAUAUAUGUAUGGUGAGUACAAGGCUGCUAUCUGGAGCAGACGGUCGGUCCGGAACCCGCAAGCAACAAGGUAGAGCCACGUUUAGUCCAGUGACUCCACGAGGCAUAAUCAGGUAAUGGUCCAUCCAGACAAUGGACUCUUUAUUUAUCCAUGCACCCACUGACAGAUGUUUGGGCAAUGAUGAAGAAACUGCUAUGAACAUCUGUGUGCACAUAAGUUUUCAACUCAUUUGGGACAAUCCCAAGCCGUUCGCUGUGAGGUCUCACAAGCGACACGUCCUGACAGGCAUUGCAACCCACGCAGUAGGUUUAUUUUAUUUACAGACGUGGGGAUCAAAGUUCAAUGCCACUUCAGGGCACUGCUGACGAAAAGAAUUUUCGCAAAGUACACCUUUAAACAGUGUUGGCUGUCAGCUGUUGGAAGUAUCUCAGCAAAAUACCGCUUGGUGACUUUAAAGACAGCGGUUACCCACCUGCUCCCCCCAAAGAGCCUGGAGAAACAGCUUCUGG